UUAGGAACCUCUUUAUCUAGCAACUUUUUGUGGCAUUCUGGCAACAGAGCCCAACAAAUCUGGAAGAAAAUGAGCUUGUUAUGGUGCUGGAUUUCAAGGAAAAUAGGAAGGCUGCCUAUGCAGAAGUAAAAAGUGCUCAUUUUGGGAAAAACCAAAUCAGUCCACUCAGUGGUGCCUUUCUAGAGGUGUGGCAAUCAGAGUCUAUUAUUUCUCUCUGAGGACACUUGCCAUGACCAUCAUGCUGUGAAGUCCUUCACCAUACAAGUUCUGGAUCUUCUAAAAAAAAAAAAAGACGUCUUUUUCGAAGGUAACAAUUUGGAGUGAUGGGGCAGCCAGCCAGUACAAGGGUAAGGGCACAUUCUGUUACCCUAGCAACAUGCUGGGUCUGGAUGUGCAGUGGUGCUAUUUUCGUUAGGAGCAUGGCAAGAAUGAGUGGGAUGGUGAGACAUGAUUGUCUGUCUAAGCUAAACACAAACCCUCACAGCAAUACAUUGAGAGGGACAAUAACAAUGACUCACUUGCAGCCGUAAAUUGCACCGGUACUAAAGGCUGGCUGCCUAUGUCCUAAGAGCUCCACCGGCUGUGCUGUUGUGCCUAUAGACAGAACAAAUUCAACAUGUGUAGUGUAUAAAUGCUGACAUGGUUGGGGAAUAUGAAGUUCACAAGUUGAAACCAAACAUGAAUGUCAGUCUCAACAAUGGCUUUUUAGAGGAUCCAGAUGUUCAGAAGAAAAAUUCAGUUUCUGAGCCUGAAAGUUCUGUGUAUCAGCUAAAAGUUGGAGACAGUCAAAGUGCACUGCAGCAUAAAUAAAGUCAAGAAGAUUUUUUAUGCUGUGGUGAUUGUUGCUCCUGAACAAAGUGCUGAUAUCAGCGUCAAGUUUUUAGAAAAGAGUGGGACAUCCUAUGUAUUCAGUGACCAGUUGGAUGUUGGGCUCAUUGCUCCUGGCCUUCCUGAUUUUUAUACAUGGGAU